rnacentral:rRNA from 1 species
UACGUAGGUGGCAAGCGUUGUCCGGAUUUACUGGGCGUAAAGGGCGCGUAGGCGGCCUGCUAAGUCGGACGUGAAAUCCCCCGGCUCAACCGGGGAACUGCGUCCGAUACUGGUGGGCUCGAAUCCGGGAGAGGGAUGUGGAAUUCCAGGUGUAGCGGUGAAAUGCGUAGAUAUCUGGAGGAACACCGGUGGCGAAGGCGGCAUCCUGGACCGGCAUUGACGCUGAGGCGCGAAAGCCAGGGGAGCAAACGGG